UUUUACUCCCCACUGCUAAUUUUUAAGCUGUUGUUUCUCGCAUUUCAAAACAUUAGCUGUUUGUGGGGAAGGCUUUCGUCUCAAUGAGGACCACAUGUCAUUGGAUGCGAUGAAGUCAUCUCUGUGUUUUACUUUUUUUCCUUGUGUAUAGCUACUUUAUGCUUCCUAUAGGAGUGACAGUGCAUUGACUCUGUGAAACAGAAUUCUGUAUAUAUUAGUUAGAAAACUGGACAUUUUACUGCAACAGCUAUAUAGCUUCUGUAGUUCAACUGUGGAGCCUGAUAUUUUGACCAACAACCUGUAUGUGAAACUGUGAUGAAGACCGUUAGGCGACUGAAUUUUGAUGGCCUGCUAGAGGAAGUGAGCGUUACAUGAAUUUUAACCAUGAGGCGAGCAGACUUUUUAUUCUGGGAUGUAACACUACUGUGGUUCUGGCUAUGUUACUCUGCACAAGUUGAUACUGAGUCUUGGGAGGGAAAUUUAAUUGUUUCAUUAAUUACUUCGGAUUACGUGAUAAACAGAUGUGGAAAAUUGGACUGUCUGUUUUAGAGAAAAAUGAAUUUCUUGAACAUUCGACAUUGCUCAGAUUCGUGAGACAGUAUUAUCUCCAUACAUCACCACUGGAACCAGUUAACGGAAGGAACCAAUUUACUCCACGUCUGUUAGGGACCCAUUGAUUUUACUUAUUCACUGAAAUUUUUCUAUAUUCGGAAUUCUGCUUUCAGCUGUGAUCUUCUGUAAAUAAAUCAUCAGGGUCUAUGUAACAAGUAUACUGUUUUACUCGGUACCCAGACAAAUUUUAUUACACACAAUUACCACUUAGGUCGUGGGGGGAGAAAUCAAUACCAACACUUGGAAUUAUAGAGAAAAAAAAAACAUCAUCCCAAAUGGAGACAACAUUUUCUGAUUGUGUCUGAAACAAUUAGAGCUGGAUGCUCCAGUGGUUGUAUGCCAUCAAUUAUGUCCACUGAAUUUGUUGUUUUCAUCAUCAAACUCGAAUCAAU
rnacentral:misc_RNA from 1 species